AUUGAACGCUGGCGGCAGGCCUACCACAUGCAAGUCGAACGAGUUGCGGUCGGGUGAGUAAUGUCUGGGAAACUGCCUGAUGGAGGGGGAUAACUACUGGAAACGGUAGCUAAUACCGCAUACCAUAAGAUGUUCCCAGAUGGGCUGAGCUUGUUGGUGGGGUAACGGCUCACCAAGGCGACGUUCCCUAGCUGGUCUGAGAGGAUGACCAGCAAAACUGGAACUGAGACACGGUCCAGACUCCUACGGGAGGCAGCAGUGGGGAAUAUUGCACAAUGGGCGAAAGCCUGAUGCAGCCAUGCCGCGUGUAUGAAGAAGGCCUUCGGGUUGUAAAGUACUUUCAGCGGGGAGGAGUUACCCGCAGAAGAAGCACCGGCUAACUCCGUGCCAGCAGCCGCGGUAAUUC
rnacentral:rRNA from 1 species